GUCAGCGGCAGACGGGUGAGUAACGCGUGGGAACGUACCUUUUGGUUCGGAACAACACAGGGAAACUUGUGCUAAUACCGGAUAAGCCCUUACGGGGAAAGAUUUAUCGCCGAAAGAUCGGCCCGCGUCUGAUUAGCUAGUUGGUAGGGUAACGGCCUACCAAGGCGACGAUCAGUAGCUGGUCUGAGAGGAUGAUCAGCCACAUUGGGACUGAGACACGGCCCAAACUCCUACGGGAGGCAGCAGUGGGGAAUAUUGGACAAUGGGGGCAACCCUGAUCCAGCCAUGCCGCGUGAGUGAUGAAGGCCCUAGGGUUGUAAAGCUCUUUUGUGCGGGAAGAUAAUGACGGUACCGCAAGAAUAAGCCCCGGCUAACUUCGUGCCAGCAGCCGCGGUAAUACGAAGGGGGCUAGCGUUGCUCGGAAUCACUGGGCGUAAAGGGUGCGUAGGCGGGUCUUUAAGUCAGGGGUGAAAUCCUGGAGCUCAACUCCAGAACUGCCUUUGAUACUGAAGAUCUUGAGUUCGGGAGAGGUGAGUGGAACUGCGAGUGUAGAGGUGAAAUUCGUAGAUAUUCGCAAGAACACCAGUGGCGAAGGCGGCUCACUGGCCCGAUACUGACGCUGAGGCACGAAAGCGUGGGGAGCAAACCAGAUUAGAUACCCUGGUAGUCCACGCCGUAAACGAUGAAUGCCAGCCGUUAGUGGGUUUACUCACUAGUGGCGCAGCUAACGCUUUAAGCAUUCCGCCUGGGGAGUACGGUCGCAAGAUUAAAACUCAAAGGAAUUGACGGGGGCCCGCACAAGCGGUGGAGCAUGUGGUUUAAUUCGACGCAACGCGCAGAACCUUACCAGCCCUUGACAUGUCCAGGACCGGUCGCAGAGAUGUGACCUUCUCUUCGGAGCCUGGAACACAGGUGCUGCAUGGCUGUCGUCAGCUCUGUCGUGAGAUGUUGGGUUAAGUCCCGCAACGAGCGCAACCCCCGUCCUUAGUUGCUACCAUUUAGUUGAGCACUCUAAGGAGACUGCCGGUGAUAAGCCGCGAGGAAGGUGGGGAUGACGUCAAGUCCUCAUGGCCCUUACGGGCUGGGCUACACACGUGCUACAAUGGCGGUGACAAUGGGAUGCUAAGGGGCGACCCUUCGCAAAUCUCAAAAAGCCGUCUCAGUUCGGAUUGGGCUCUGCAACUCGAGCCCAUGAAGUUGGAAUCGCUAGUAAUCGUGGAUCAGCACGCCACGGUGAAUACGUUCCCGGGCCUUGUACACACCGCCCGUCACACCAUGGGGAGUUGGCUUUACCUGAAGACGGUGCGCUAACCAGCAA
rnacentral:rRNA from 1 species